GUUUCCAUGGUGCAGCGGUUAUCACAUCUGCCUAACAAGCAAAAAGUCCCCGGUUCGAUCCCGGGCGAUAACA
rfam:Danaus plexippus plexippus isolate F-2 unplaced genomic scaffold DPSCF300006, whole genome shotgun sequence.